rnacentral:rRNA from 1 species
ACGUAGGUGGCAAGCGUUGUUCGGAAUUAUUGGGCGUAAAGGGCGCGUAGGCGGUCGGUUAAGUCAGUUGUGAAAGCCCGGGGCUCAACCCCGGAGGGUCGACUGAUACUGAUUGACUAGAGUACGGAAGAGGUAGCUGGAAUUCCCGGUGUAGCAGUGAAAUGCGUAGAUAUCGUAAAGAAGACCAGAGGCGAAAGCGAGCUUCUAGGCAGUUACUGACGCUCAUGCACGAAAGCCAAGGUAGCAAACGGGA